AUGCUUUGCUUUCCCUUCAGAUUGUACAAAUCUUCCCCCUUUCACUAAAGAUUUCUGUGGAGAGGAACUACUCUGAGUUUUAAGCCAAUUUUUUGAGACCAUUCUUUGGCAAGGAU
ensembl:snRNA U5 U5 spliceosomal RNA